rnacentral:tRNA from 1 species
GUAGCUGUUAAUCAGUUUCUAAUGCAACCUUGAAGAUGCACAUGAAAAAAUGUAGCGCAUCUGCUUUGGGAGCAGAGGGUCGCAGGUUCGAAUCCUGUCACCC